GUCAAGGUCUCCGAACCUGAAGGUGCUAACAGAAAGGCGGUCGUGGUCCUUAAUAAGGAAUCGUUGCCGUUACUCCGAGAGAAGCAAGGCAAAGUAUACUACGGAUUUGAUAGUAUCAAGCUGCGCGUCUACCGGGGUGACGACAAACUAGACCCCAAACCGGUAAGCACGGACGGAGGAAAGGUAGACGAUACCACUAACUCUGACGACCAAAUGGACGCCCAAUCAAGUACAGACUUGAUUGGGAAUCUAUUUGAUAGCCAGGGCGAAGUGAUUGACGAAGACGAGCUUCUGAAAACAGACCCAGAAGACGCCGACGUCACAAUCGUCUACGACCCUGACCAAGAUGAAGGUGAUCCAAGUGAACCUUCACCACUCUAAAGCAGCUUCAGCUGCAUUACACCUCCACCUUGGAUAUCAAGGGGAGGAUAUAGCGUUGAUCCAAGAGCCGUGGACCCAUAACGGCAACUUACUUGGAAUCAACGUAAAAGGCUUUAAAAUACUGUACGCAAAAGGCACAGUGAUGAAGAUACAGUAACCGCAGCAUGGGAGACAGAGGAAUCCACAAUGUGGAUCCUCUCCUGCUAUAUGGCGCACGACCAGACAGACCCCCCGCCAAGUAACACGGUCGUCAGGGCAGUAAGUGCAGCAAACGGAAAACGCAUCCCUGUUAUUAUAGGCGCAGAUGCAAACGCACACCAUACACUAUGGGGUAGCACCAACAUCAACACACGAGGUAUCACAAAGGGACCAACAGGACCCAAGUGUGCGUCUUUGCAGCCUGAAUACCUAACCUA
rnacentral:lncRNA from 1 species